rnacentral:rRNA from 1 species
AUUGAACGCUGGCGGCAGGCUUAACACAUGCAAGUCGAGCGGAGAUGAGGUGCUUGCACCUUAUCUUAGCGGCGGACGGGUGAGUAAUGCUUAGGAAUCUGCCUAUUAGUGGGGGACAACAUUCCGAAAGGAAUGCUAAUACCGCAUACGUCCUACGGGAGAAAGCAGGGGAUCUUCGGACCUUGCGCUAGUAGAUGAGCCUAAGUCGGAUUAGCUAGCUGGUGGGGUAAAGGCCUACCAAGGCGACGAUCUGUAGCGGGUCUGAGAGGAUGAUCCGCCACACUGGGACUGAGACACGGCCCAGACUCCUACGGGAGGCAGCAGUGGGGAAUAUUGGACAAUGGGGGGAACCCUGAUCCAGCCAUGCCGCGUGUGUGAAGAAGGCCUUAUGGUCGUAAAGCACUUUAAGCGAGGAGGAGGCUACUGAGACUAAUACUCUUGGAUAGUGGACGUUACUCGCAGAAUAAGCACCGGCUAACUCUGUGCCAGCAGCCGCGGUAA